UUAUCGUGUCCGGCAAAGUUAAAAAUAUUUAUUUGGCGAACGUUACAUGGAACUCUAUCGUGUCGUGUUACACUUGCCAAUAGACAUAUGAAAGUUUUGCCCCUUUGUCCAUCAUGCUCGAAUGGGCAAGAAGAUACAAAACACAUCUUGUUUCCGUGUCAGAAGGCAAAAGAGGUUUCGGGUAAGCUGGGGAUGUACGAGGUAAUUAAGAAAGCUUGUGUUAUCGAUCGUGCGGGUGAGGCGGUUCUUGAAUUCUUCUUAUGCCGCACUAAGAACUCUAUAUUAGGUUGCUAGAAUGAAAGUGAAUUAAUCGCGCUAACCACUUGGUAUUUAUGGUGGGAGAGAUGCAUGUUGGUUCAUGAAGGGAAGUCUCAAGAUGUGAACCAGAUUUUGAUGAGGGUUCGUGCUAUAACGGCAAACUAUGUGAAUGCCCACUCCCCUAGUGUGACUAGUAGAAAAGAAGGAUGGAGCCGACCUCCUAUGGGUUUUAUUAAACUAAAUGUUGAUGCUUAUUUUGACCAUGAUCUACUCAGGGGCACGGCAGGUGCUGUACUCAGAGAUGACAAAGGAAAAUUCAUUGUUGGCGGAAAUUGGAAGAUCGAUUGGUGUGCUGAUGUACUAACAGCAGAAGCGAUGGCUCCUAGGUUUGGUUUAAUUCUUGCACAAAAGGCGGGAUGCAAUCGUCUUAUUAUUAACUCUGAUAAUAUGGAAGUCAUUGACACAAUGAAGAAUGGAGGACAAUCGGCGGGAUUUGAGGCGGGAGUCUUUGAGGAUUGCUACUUCAUGGCAUGUGAUUUUCCGCUGACUAGAUUUGAACAUUGUAAUAGGGUAGUUAAUAAGGUUGCUCAUGAACUUGCUAGGCUAGCGAAAGUUUCUGUAACUAGAGAUUGGUUUGAGGAGCCUAUGGAGAAUAUUGUACCUCUUCUUAUAGACGAUGUAACCAUUAUUUCCAAUUAA
rnacentral:rRNA from 1 species